UAUAUACUUUAAUGUGCUCAGCCUACC
rnacentral:piRNA from 1 species